CAAAGAAGCCACAUGGCAGAUAACCUCAUUCAUCCAGCCACAUCCAGAGAAAAGGACUGAAAUCAAUGUCGUAAGUUAUUUCAUUUGAUUAAGUACAUUUUUAAGUUAAUAUAUUAAGGACUAUUUGGUUAAAAAAAUGAAUAAUAAGUUAAGAUUAAAAAUAUUUUUUGAAGGUUAACUAUUUACAAGAGGAGAGUUAGUUCAUGGCUUUUGUAUAUAUACAGUAUUAUGUAAAAGAAUGAUUCAAGAUUGUUUAUGUAUUUUAUUAAUUUUAUUACAGUUUUCACUCCAUGUCAAUGUGAAGGAGUCAUCAGUAAAAAUCUUAAAUUACAGGCGGCUCAUCCCUUCUUUUGAGUGGAGUUUAGCUCAGUGUUUAGUCUGUGGCUCUUACGCUCUGAUGAGAACACUAUAUAUAUAUAUAUAUAUAUAUAUAUAUAUAUAUAUAUAUAUAUAUGUAUCAAUUAAAAAUACAUUUCGAGCAUCUCAAUUUACUUUUGUCAUUAACUGAGUGUCUUUAUUGUCAGCUUCAGUUCUGGGAGGUGAUAAGUGAUGAACAUGGCAUCGACCCGAGUGGGACAUACCAUGGAGACAGCGAUCUGCUGCUGUAGCGGAUCAACAUCUAUUACAACGAAGCAACAGGUUAACUCCACUUUACCAAAGCUCUCAGUCCCCACUGUUAGGUUAUCUCAUUAUCUCAGAGCAGGUAAUGUGUAAUUCUUGGAUUAUUUUUGAAGAAAAAUAAAUAAAUACAUAAAUAAAACAUCUCUAUCAUAUCCUAUUUCACCUUUAAACUCUGGGCUUUUGUUUGAAGCACCAUGAAAAGUGAAGACUACUGAAGAUCAAAUUUUGCAGGCAGCUCAAAAUAAAUUGUGACUUAAAUCAGCUGUAAGAAGAGUAAACCGUUUCACCUUGGUUUGGUUUUCUUUCACACAACAGGCUCUUAAAAUUAUGGUCCUCAGGUUGUUGCUGUAGCCCUAUAGAUUCAUUCAUGAUCAUGGCCUGCUAAACCUCAGAAAACACCAUCAAAUAUAGAUGUGAACAGAGCAUGGUAUGGAUCCAUACGUUUACUGUGAAAAUGCUUAAUCAAUUAUCUAAGUGCUGCAGGAGGAAGAUUGAUUCAUGGUCAUGACUGUGGGGAGAAAUUAUCAGAAAAACACAUGGAUGUACUGCAUGUGGAGUAAUUUCCUUUUUAGUCUUUGCUGUUGCCUCUGGAAAUGAAAAUAUGACCAGCUUGAGUGAUUUUUUUUUAUAGUAUGUCUUUUUUAUCCUGUAACUGUAACCUUUACACAACAGACAGCUAUCAGAAAAUAUGGAUUUUUUACAGCCAAGAAGCAGCCAGUAGAGACCACAAUCCCCAGAUGGAGCCCAAGUACAAGACUGAAGAAGGCCAUUCACAUCCUUAUUUCUUUUAGGGACAACAAGUUAUCUCAUCAAAGCUAUUUUCAAUUUUAAAGUGAUGGAAAAGCUGGUAAUUACAAUUCUGCAAUCCUUGGAGAGACGUGGCUAAUCAGACUGAGAGGAACCCUGAGUGGACUCCUCUCCUGCAUCGGCAACAGCAGCUUAAUGAGACGAAGGUUCCACUGAAGAAGAAACAUCUGCCGGCUUGUUUUGGAUGUGGCAGGGUCUGGCAGAGAGGAGCUGGCAGCAGAGAGAGUGCAGACGGUGUUCUGGCUAAAACGGUUUCUUACGUGCGGCUGCUGCCAAGGCUGAGCCCGCUUCACUGACAGGGCGAGAUACGGAGCAGCAAAGAGAGAGGGGAUCGCCACAAGGUCACUGACCAAACACUGUAGGUCCAAGG
rnacentral:lncRNA from 1 species